UACAGAGACUGCAAGCGUUAUUCGGAUUCACUGGGCGUAAAGGGUGCGCAGGCGGCCAAGUGUGUGAGGCGUGAAAGCCCGGGGCUUAACCCCGGAAUUGCACCUCAAACUACAUGGCUAGAGCAUUGGAGAGGGUAGCAGAAUUCAUGGUGUAGCAGUGAAAUGCGUAGAUAUCAUGAGGAAUACCAGAGGCGAAGGCGGCUACCUGGACAAUUGCUGACGCUCAGGCACGAAAGCGUGGGGAGCAAAAGGA
rnacentral:rRNA from 1 species